GUCCUGGAGAGUGGAAGAGGGGGGCUGGACCGUCAGGAGAAGGACCCUGCCAAGGCUGCCUUUGGGACGCUACUGGCCUUGAAGGUGAAGCCAUAGUCAAGGAAUGGAGGGUGGGGGUCACUCUGGAUGCUGGGAAAGGCAAGUAAGCAGGUCCCUGAGCCACAGGAAGAGAGCAGACUCCCAGGCACCUCGAGUCUAGCCCGGCGACGCCCCUUUCAGACUUUGAACCUGUACAACUAUGAGAUCCCAGGUUUGUGUUGUUCUAAGCCACCAGGUUGAUGAUCACUGUUAUAGCAGUGUGAGAAACAGACUCCCUCCCUCUGCUUCCUCACGGCAGAACAACACUGACAAAGCCAUACUGCAGGGCGCCAGGUGCCUUAUGGGUGGCACCCAUGUGGCCGUGAGGACAGGGCCGGGUGCACAGGAGAAUCAAACACCAGCUCCCAAGGAAAGUCCUCCCGUGGCUUCCCGCCUCUGCUCACCCUCUUUAACCACAGUCGAGAUCAGCUGUCAGAAACAGGCAAAUUCUGCCUGUAAUUUGCCAUCCACACCAAGGGGGAGUUCGCAAACUUGGAUGCCACCAGAGGCCAGGCGAAGGGCACUGAAGGAGCAGGGCA
rnacentral:lncRNA from 1 species